AUUAACANGGAGAAGCUUUGCUUUCCCGGCUGACGAGCGGCGGACGGGUGAGUAAUGUAUGGGGAUCUGCCCGAUAGGAGGGGGAUAACCACUGGAAACGGUGGCUAAUACCGCAUAAUCUCUCAGGAGCAAAGCAGGGGAACUUCGGUCCUUGCGCUAUCGGAUGAACCCAUAUGGGAUUAGCUAGUAGGUGGGGUAAUGGCUCACUUAGGCGACGAUCCCUAGCUGGUCUGAGAGGAUGACCAGCCACACUGGAACUGAGACUGUGGUCCGACUCAUCCGGGAGGCAUCAGUGGGAAAUUUUGUCUAGGGGCGCAAACCUGAUCU
rnacentral:rRNA from 1 species